UGGUGCAGGGGCCUUCAGUUGUGCAAAAGUGCUUACAGUGCAGGUAGCAUUUUGGGAUCUACUGCAGUGGUAGCACUUCUAGCAUUACAAUGGCAAUUGAAUC
rnacentral:miRNA from 1 species